AGGGAAUCUUCCACAAUGGACGCAAGUCUGAUGGAGCAACGCCGCGUGAGUGAAGAAGGCUUUCGGGUCGUAAAACUCUGUUAUUGAAGAAGAACGUGUGUGACAGUAACUGGUCAUGCAGUGACGGUAUUCAAUCAGAAAGUCACGGCUAACUACGUGCCAGCAGCCGCGGUAAUACGUAGGUGGCAAGCGUUGUCCGGAUUUAUUGGGCGUAAAGCGAGUGCAGGCGGUCUUUUAAGUCUGAUGUGAAAGCCUUCGGCUUAACCGAAGAAGGGCAUCGGAAACUGGGAGACUUGAGUACAGAAGAGGAGAGUGGAACUCCAUGUGUAGCGGUGAAAUGCGUAGAUAUAUGGAAGAACACCAGUGGCGAAGGCGGCUCUCUGGUCUGUAACUGACGCUGAGGCUCGAAAGCGUGGGUAGCAAACAGGAUUAGAUACCCUGGUAGUCCACG
rnacentral:rRNA from 1 species